CCUACGGGUGGCAGCAGUGGGGAAUAUUGCACAAUGGGGGAAACCCUGAAGCAGCGACGCCGCGUGAGUGAGGAAGUAUUUCGGUAUGUAAAGCUCUAUCAGCAGGGAAGAAAAUGACGCUACCUGACUAAUAAGCCCCGGCUAACUACGUGCCAGCAGCCGCGGUAAUACGUAGGGGGCAAGCGUUAUCCGGAUUUACUGGGUGUAAAGGGAGGGUAGACGGCUAAUCAAGUCAGAAGGGAAAACCCAGGGCCCAAGCUUGGGACUGCUUUUGAAACUGAGUAGCUAGAGUGCAGGAGAGGUAAGCGGAAUUCGUAGUGUAGCGGUGAAAUGCAUAGAUAUUAGGAGGAACACCAGUGGCGAAGGCAGCUUACUGGACUGUAACUGACGUUGAGGCACGAAAGCGUGGGGAGCAAACAGGAUUAGAUACCCUAGUAGUC
rnacentral:rRNA from 1 species